GGACAUUAUAGCACUUGAGACAGCAAGCAGGAUAUCCAGAAGAGGCAAGACAGCUAUUCAUGUACAACACACUGGUCAUAAUGAAGCAUUGAAGGCUCACAGGGACAAACAUCCGAAUUUAGAUGUCUUCACAGCUGGAACUGAUAUUGAUUGUGAGAAGUAUGAACACAUUUUUGCUGAGAAAAUGAGUUAUAUCAAAGGGAAUAAAAUGAGUGGCGGAAAUAUUUGCAUCAUUUCAUCUUCAAAAUCAGAUUCCAUACCUUUGAAGAAAUUUACUAAGAGUCAUUCCAGUAAAUCUUUUCUUCAACGAUUGUUCGGAAAGAGAGCUACUGUGAAAAUAUCUCAAGGGCCUGUUGGACGGGAUCGGUAGUUCCUGUCGAUGCCGAAUUUGUCAACUACUACCACAGAGGAAUUACCAUCUGGGGAGCUGUAUCAAGAUGACGGAGGAAUCACCCUCGUUGCCCAUAAACGACUGAAUGAACCAGAGGUUAAAAGAAGUUCAGUCUUAACAACAGUUACGACUGCAGCCAAAUUAUCAACGCAACCUCAUUCCUUUCUGCCAAGUGCCGAGGACACUGAAGUGAGAAAAUGUGCACCAGAUGUCCAGAUCAAGAGACAAAGUUCGACGGCAUCAGAAUCAGACCGAGAAUAUGACCAGGAUAGUUUCACAACUGACAUUUCCUAUGGUGGAGGAUCUAUAGGAAGAGUGCCUUCCGUUUCACGAACUUCUUCUUCAAGUGGUUAUGUCAGUAACUGUGAAAGUCCACGAAGAUCCGAUAAAUGCCCAGAAAGACAGGAUGUCAACAUGGAUUCUUAACAAAUCCAUCUAAGAGCAAUUAUUUCAAGUAAUUUCAAUUGUAAAGAGGUGAUAAUUCACACGUCUAUAGACAAAGAGUUCGCCAACACAACAGCAGCCUGUAUUGUUGUG